CAAUCGGCCCUUUUCAGGGCCAUCAAUAUUUUUAAACGUAAAACA
rfam:Trichomalopsis sarcophagae strain Alberta scaffold7804, whole genome shotgun sequence.